GUGCCAGCAGCCGCGGUAAUACCGGCAGCCCGAGUGAUGGCCGAUAUUAUUGGGCCUAAAGCGUCCGUAGCUGGCCGCGCAAGUCCGUCGGGAAAUCCAUCAGCCCAACUGAUGGGCGUCCGGCGGAAACUGCACGGCUUGGGACCGGAAGACUCGAGAGGUACGUCCGGGGUAGGAGUGAAAUCCCGUAAUCCCGAACGGACCACCGAUGGCGAAAGCACUUCGAGAAAACGGAUCCGACAGUGAGAGACGAAAGCCAGGGUCUCCAACCGGAUUAGAUACCCCAGUGUCC
rnacentral:rRNA from 1 species